rnacentral:lncRNA from 1 species
UAUUUCCUUGGCAUUAAUUACAGUUCAAGAUGAGCAGUUUUUCCUCUAUAGCUCUUUUCUGUUUCACAGUGAAAGUAAACUGCGGUUCAAGGACACAUCCUGAAACUCAAACUUACAAGUAUUUACCUGGUGGAGACCACGCAGAGAACUUCACAGCACACAGGUGCAGCUCAGUGAACUUCACAAGGUUUGGCAAUUGUCUUCCCACUCCUCUCUACGCAUAA